UAUCACCAAUCAAUGAGAUUAACCCUCCAAAAUCAAUGAGAUUAACCUGAGACUGGUAAUGGUAAACGUAUUGAAAUAUUUAAAAAUUGAUAUUUUGUGAUUUAUUGGUAAAAGAUAUUACGUUUUUCUCAUUCAUAUACAAUUAUUAGUAUUUUCUGUUUUUGUAAAAAAUAUAACAGUUCAUUAGAAUUGCAUAAGUUGUUUAUAUAGAAUAAAAUGCAAACUCUUUGUCAAGUUUUUCAUAGCUCACCACUGCAUGUAAUCCACAAACAGGAUAGGUCUACAAAUUACAUUAGUAGCAAAUAUGUGUUCUAUAACCAAACAUAGGGAAGAUUUUGCAAUGUUGAUUACAACUAAAACCAUAUUAUUUACAGAUGCUGCAAUAUAAAUUUUGCAAUCGUAUGCAUGGAAGACAAUUCUUCCACUAUCUAGUGGUGAAGCAUUUGUUGGAUAGGUACGUUUGUGUACUGGACAUGGAAAAUUGUCAUGCUGUUACUGAAUAGAAAUUAUAUUUACUUGAACAUUUUAUAUGCCAUUUCACUGAUAAAGGUACAUGGGUCCUUUUUUUCUACAGAAACACUGUAAAAGAAGAUGACUCAAUGUUGUUCAGAUGACCAUGAGAUCAUUGACCAUACACUCCGUAAUCUUUUGCUUUUGGAAUGUGCUUUAGACUAUAUUUAUAUGCUCCUAUUGCUAAUAAUAUCAAAACUCCAAGACUGCAUUAUAGCUCCUUUGAUGACCAUCAGCAGGGAAAUUUUACUAUGUUUGUGAAUAGAAUUGUGAUACCCGGUCGAUAUGUGUCCUGUACCAACAGGAACACACAAUGACCUUUAUGGUAUUAUGUCAAAUUUGAUGAACUUUUAUUUCAUUUCAUGUAGUAAUCAUUUUUUAUCUGUAAUAUGUUACAGAAUAAAACAUUUUAAAACUUACAAA